AUUGAACGCUGGCGGCAGGCUUAACACAUGCAAGUCGAGCGGAGAUGAGGUGCUUGCACCUUAUCUUAGCGGCGGACGGGUGAGUAAUGCGUAGGAAGCUACCCGAUAGAGGGGGAUACCAGUUGGAAACGACUGUUAAUACCGCAUAAUGUCUACGGACCAAAGUGUGGGACCUUCGGGCCCCAUGCUUUCGGAUGCGCCUACGUGGGAUUAGCUAGUUGGUGGGGUAAUGGCUCACCAAGGCGACGAUCCCUAGCUGGUUUGAGAGGAUGAUCAGCCACACUGGAACUGAGACACGGUCCAGACUCCUACGGGAGGCAGCAGUGGGGAAUAUUGGACAAUGGGCGCAAGCCUGAUCCAGCCAUGCCGCGUGUGUGAAGAAGGCCUUCGGGUUGUAAAGCACUUUCAGUAGGGAGGAAGGGUGUUGUGUUAAUAGCACAGCAUUUUGACGUUACCCACAGAAGAAGCACCGGCUAACUCUGUGCCAGCCGCCGCAGUAAGAC
rnacentral:rRNA from 1 species